GAUGAACGCUGGCGGCGUGCUUAACACAUGCAAGUCGAACGGUGAACGAGGGAGCUUGCUCCUUCCGGAUCAGUGGCGAACGGGUGAGUAACACGUGAGCAAUCUGCCCCGAACUCUGGGAUAAGCGCUGGAAACGGCGUCUAAUACCGGAUACGACGCGCGAAGGCAUCUUCUGCGCGUGGAAAGAAUUUCGGUUCGGGAUGAGCUCGCGGCCUAUCAGCUAGUUGGUGAGGUAACGGCUCACCAAGGCGACGACGGGUAGCCGGCCUGAGAGGGUGACCGGCAACACUGGGACUGAGACACGGCCCAGACUCCUACGGGAGGCAGCAGUGGGGAAUAUUGCACAAUGGGCGCAAGCCUGAUGCAGCAACGCCGCGUGAGGGACGACGGCCUUCGGGUUGUAAACCUCUUUUAGUAGGGAAGAAGCGAAAGUGACGGUACCUGCAGAAAAAGCACCGGCUAACUACGUGCCAGCCGCCGCCGUAAUAC
rnacentral:rRNA from 1 species